AACAGAUACCAAUGGCUGAGAUCACUGGUGAGGGUCCUCUGUUUUAUGGGGUGCUCCCUGACACACAAACCGGAUCAUAAGACUUAACAGGUGAGAUGCCUAAGCUUUCCCCCUUCUUGCUUUCUGUACUUAUUUUGGGACCUAACGCGGUGACUGUGAGUACUACCCUCUCUAAACUUCAGUUUCCUCACUGGCAAAGGAGAUUAGAGGAACCACACUAUUUUCAAGAGUAAGCACUGUGGCAUCAAGUGGGAUCCUCAUAUUACCAGCAAGCUCUCCAAUUACACAGCUUUAUCUAAAUCCCUGGCUUGUAAGAAGGGACAUUCGGAUACACAGAGACGGUGGUGUGGUGCAUACCUGCAAGUACCCGCACCACUCUGGAACAACUUCUCAAGCUGGCACUCCACUCCACAUCAAGUAUCUGCCUUUGGCAUGAAAGAUCCUGUCUAGGCUCGUGCAUUGCAUUCUAUUGUUAGUUCUCAUCAGCUCCUCAGUCUCCAGGUCUCUGAUGACCCUGAAACCUUUGAAGAGUACUGGUCAUUAUUAUGUAACAAUGUACUUCAAUUGGGGUUUGUCUGAUGAGUUCUCACGAAAAAAAGAAGUCACCCAUUUUCACAACACCAGAGCCAAGAUGUGUAUCCUCCUGUGUGUGUUUUCACACCUUAUUUGUAAUGUUAACCAUAACCACUUGGCUAAGGAGGUGUCUGUCAGGUUUCUCUAAAGUUAUUGUCUUUUAAAUAAACAUCUUGAGAGGUAUCUUGAGACUAUA